AUUGAACGCUGGCGGCAGGCCUAACACAUGCAAGUCGAACGAGUGGCGGACGGGUGAGUAAUGUCUGGGAAACUGCCUGAUGGAGGGGGAUAACUACUGGAAACGGUAGCUAAUACCGCAUACCAUCAGAUGUGCCCAGAUGGGAUUAGCUAGGUGGUGGGGUAACGGCUCACCAAGGCGACGAUCCCUAGCUGGUGUGAGAGGCUGACCAGCCACACGGGAACUGCGACACGGUCCAGACUCCAACGAGAGGCAGCAGUGGGGAAGAUUGCACAAUGGGCGCAAGCCUGAUGCAGACAUGCCGAGUGUAUGAAGAAGGCCUUCGGGUGAUAAAGUACUUUCAGCGGGGAGGCGUUACCCGCAGAAGAAGCACCGGCUAACUCCGUGCCAGCAGCCACGGUAAUAC
rnacentral:rRNA from 1 species